GAUGAAGAACGCAGCAAAAUGCGAUAAGUAAUGUGAAUUGCAGAAUUCAGUGAAUCAUCGAAUCUUUGAACGCACAUUGCGCCCGCCAGUAUUCUGGCGGGCAUGCCUGUUCGAGCGUCAUUUCAACCCUCAAGCACAGCUUGGUGUUGGGACUCGCGUUAAUUCGCGUUCCUCAAAUUGAUUGGCGGUCACGUCGAGCUUCCAUAGCGUAGUAGUAAAACCCUCGUUACUGGUAAUCGUCGCGGCCACGCCGUUAAACCCCAACUUCUGAAUGUUGACCUCCGAUCAGGUAGGAAUACCCGCUGAACUUAAGCAUAUCAAUAAGCGGAGGA
rnacentral:misc_RNA from 1 species